UGUGUGUUCUCGAACGUACAGGGGCUUCAAGAAGCCAAGCCCUAGUUCUUCAAAAAGCUUCAAAUUAAGGGAUGAUUCAAGGCUCAAAUUCGUGAAUUCUCAUGGAUUAAUGAUCACCAUCACAAGGGGAUCAUAAGUUAGAAGGAAACCAUGUUUAUGAGAACGUGUCAAGGAGAGCUCAAGCAUAGGAGGAUAACGGGUCAAGAUAAGGCAAGGUGA
rnacentral:lncRNA from 1 species